UUUUGUAGAAUCACUGGUGAAUAAGGGGUGGGCAAGUUCUGGUGUCAGCCGCCGCGGUAAAACCAGCACCUCGAGUGGUCAGGAGGUUUAUUGGGCCUAAAGCAUCCGUAGCCGGUUGCAUAAGUUUUCGGUUAAAUCUAUGCGCUUAACGUAUAGGCCGCCGAAAAUACUGUGCAGCUAGGGAGUGGGAGAGGUACACGGUACUCGAUAGGAAGGGGUAAAAUCCUUUGAUCUAUUGAUGACCACCUGUGGCGAAGGCGGUGUACCAGAACACGUUCGACGGUGAGGGAUGAAAGCUGGGGGAGCAAACCGGAUUAGAUACCCGGGUAGUCCCAGCUGUAAACGAUGCAGACUCGGUGAUGCAUUGGCUUGUGGCCAAUGCAGUGCCGCAGGGAAGCCGUUAAGUCUGCCGCCUGGGAAGUACGUACGCAAGUAUGAAACUUAAAGGAAUUGGCGGGGGAGCACCACAAGGGGUGAAGCCUGCGGUUCAAUUGGAGUCAACGCCAGAAAUCUUACCUGGGGAGACAGCAGAAUGAAGGUCAAGCUGAAGACUUUACCAGACACGCUGAGAGGUGGUGCAUGGCCGUCGCCAGCUCGUGCCGUGAGAUGUCCUGUUAAGUCAGGUAACGAGCGAGACCCCUGCGUCUAGUUGCUACCAUUACUCUCUGGAGCAGUGGAGCGAAUUAGACGGACCGCCACAGUUAAUGUGGAGGAAGGAAGGGGCCACGGCAGGUCAGUAUGCCCCGAAACCCUAGGGCUACACGCGGGCUGCAAUGGUAUUGACAAUGUGUUCCGAAUCCGAAAGGAGGAGGCAAUCAUCAAACAAUAUCUCAGUUAUGACUGAGGG
rnacentral:rRNA from 1 species